rnacentral:rRNA from 1 species
GAUAAACGCUAGCGGCAGGCUUAACACAUGCAAGUCGAGGGGUAGCAUAGAUUGUAGCAAUACAAUUGGUGGCGACCGGCGCACGGGUGCGUAACGCGUAUGCAACCUACCCGUCACAGGGGGAUAAUCCGGAGAAAUCUGGUCUAAUACCCCAUAACAUAUGGAUCGGCAUCGGUUCAUGUUGAAAUUUUCGGAGGUGACGGAUGGGCAUGCGUAGCAUUAGCUUGUUGGUGAGGUAACGGCUCACCAAGGCGACGAUGCUUAGGGGGACUGAGAGGUUUUCCCCCCACACUGGUACUGAGACACGGACCAGACUCCUACGGGAGGCAGCAGUGAGGAAUAUUGGUCAAUGGGCGCAAGCCUGAACCAGCCAUGCCGCGUGCAGGAUGACGGCUCUAUGAGUUGUAAACUGCUUUUGUACGAGGGUAAAGUGGGUUACGUGUAACCUUUUGAAAGUAUCGUACGAAUAAGGAUCGGCUAACUCCAUGCCAGCCGCCGCAGUAA